GCGCCCGUAGCUCAGUGGAUAGAGCGCUGCCCUCCGAAGGCAGAAGUCGCAGGUUCGAAUCCCGCCGGGCGCA
rnacentral:tRNA from 1 species